CAGGUUCCUUUGUUCCUCGCUGCAGCAGUUCUCUGGAUAGCUGCUGGAUUCUUUUAAUUCCAGCAAGCCUGCUUUUAAUUAAGAUUAGGUUUUAUAGUUUACUAGAAUCUUUUAUCUUCUCUCCAAACCCUAAUCAAUUUAUUUAGAGUGUAGGUUCUCAUAUUUUUUCUCAAAAAAUUCUGCAUAUAAUUAGUUUUGAUUGGUGCCCACCUAUUUUAUAUAUAUAUAUAUCUAUAUAUAUAUCUAUAUAUAUAUUAUAUAUAUAUAUAUAAUAUAUAUAUAUAGGCUAAGUCUCUAACUAGAGUAAGAAUAAGGAUAUUAGAGAGUCAUAGUUUGACUUUAAUUAAAAUAUUAAAAGUCUUAGUUAUCUCAUAACUUAAUUUAGUAAUUUAAUUAAUCUAAAUUAAUUUCACUAAAUAAUUUGGAUUGUAAUUCAAAAUAAAAUAAUUAAAAUACCAUCAUCGUUUUCUUAUACGCAUUUUUAUUACUUUCUAAAAUUAAAGUAUUAUCCUCUUUUCUCUAAACAUUACAAAAAUCGAUUACCAUGGGUAAAUUUAAAUUUAAAAGAAAAAGUGAAAAAACAUAAAACCCCUGAUUACGUGUACUCAAUUUCCUAUUUAGUACCGUUUUGAGUUUAUUGUUCUUAUUUUUAUAAGGUCUAGAUAUAAACAGAAAGCCCCAUCUGAAACAAAUUUAUAAAAGUGAACAAACGUAAUUUUUGUUGGAAUCUAAUUGGGACAAUUUUGAAAAGAGAUUAGAAAUUUUUAUUUCCAAAAAAAACAUUUAAAAAUAUUUUUUUUUUUGAGUUUUUUUUUCAGUUAGAUAAAAUUUUAUACAUUUUCAGAUUCUUCUCGUAAAAAGGAAACGAAAAAACAUAAAAUUUGAUCAAACAGUUAAAAAACUACGUAAAGAUAAAAAACUUGAUGUCGAGCCGGCCAUACUUGGCAACGGUGGCGUCGGAGGUGGCUUCACAGUGGACGAAGGAGAUGGAGUAAGAGGAGCCAAUGGAGCUGUAAGGAUAGAGGCCGAGGGUGUCCUGGAUGCUGGCGAUAACGACCUUGGUGUCGUGCUGGACAAAGAGUUGUGUGGCGGCCGCGCCUAUCCCAGUCGCGCCGCCGAUGAUCGCUGCCACCUUGCCUGCCAGCCUUCAAAGCCAAUGGUUUUUAAUUUUAUGCUAUAUAAGUCUGUUUGUUUCUCAUUUUUAGUAUUUUUUUUGUAAUUAUAAAUUUAAUUGACUUAUAUACUAUUGCUAUGAAAAUUGUUUUUUGAAAUUCUUUAUUUUACUGUAAUUUUUUUCCAAUAAAUUUUGGCUCCUCUUGCCUGUUAGAAGAUUUAGAUUUGUGUUUAUAAGUGCCGUUGGGAUGUUUAUUUCAUUUGUGAGAGAUUAGUAAUGAGAGAAAUGGUCCGACCGGGGUAUUUGAUUUGCACGGGAUUAGACAGUAAAAUUAGUAAAUAUCAAGGGUAAUGAUUUGUAAAGGUUGAUUGCAAUGACUUAUAUAUGUGAGAGUACAAAGUAAGAAAAUUAUUAAUUAUGAGAGAAGAAUAAGAGUUUUGCAAUUCUUUGAGUAAAUUUGUGUGUUAAAUUGUCCACAUAUGUAAAGUAGAAUUCAUUUAGUUUUCUAUUUUUGCUAGCUCGUGAACACAAAAAACUAACCUAAUUAACCACUUAUUAAUAUACUGAUCACACAUAAUAAUUACAAUAGUGAUAGGUACACACUCACUUUUGAGUGUGUACAAGAUACACUUAUUUUUGCCUUCUCAUAAAAUAAAUGAGAUUUUCACGCUUUUCUAAAAAUCUUAAAUAGGGUGGAUCUCACUUGUUUUGUGAGAGGACAAAAUGAGUGUCUUGUACACACCCACUUUUGGGUGUGUACCAAUCAUUAUUCUAAUAAUUACCCCCAAUGUCAUUAAAGAAAAAUUAAAUUCAUCCAAAUAACUGAUUAAAAUUGAAUUAAAUUUGCUUUUAAUGGUGCUUUUAUAUAUUUUUUUUCCUUUUUAGUUUUCCAAACCAUGACAAAUCGAUUUAAUAUUAGUAUUAUUAUUAUAUUUAGUGAGAAUUUUUGUUUUUGGUCAAUUUUUUUAUUUUUCUAGUUUGAAUUGAUCAGAAAUUAAAAAAAAGUUUUUUCCAAAAAACACACCGCUAAAGACAAAAUUAGUUUAAAUAACGAAUUAAUUUUGGAUUUUUUUUUGUUUUAUUGUACUUUUUACUUUCUCUAUUUCUCAAAUCAAGAUGAACUGAAAAAGGUAAAAAAAAAUGAAUAAAAGCUAUAAAAAUAGUAAAAAAAAUAAAAAUUUAGAUACAAAAAACAAAAAUAAUUAUUUUAAACUGGACCAGACUAUGCCAUUCAAUCAAUGCUUGGGCUCCUUUUAUUUAUUAUUAUUAUUUAUUAUUAUUAUUAAUGUUGCAUUAAAAUAAAUUUCUUGUUUUAAAUGCUAAAUUCCAACAAGAAUCUAACCACUUCAAUUUUUUUCUGAAAUUGUUUUUAAUAAUUCUCGUGAA
rnacentral:lncRNA from 1 species